rnacentral:rRNA from 1 species
UAAAAAAAGGUAAGCUACUAAGAGCGAAUGGUGGAUGCCUUGACUGGUAAAGGCGAUGAAGGACGUACUAGACUGCGAUAAGCUACGGGGAGCUGUCAAGAAGCUUUGAUCCGUAGAUUUCCGAAUGGGGCAACCCAAUGUAUAGAGAUAUACAUUACCUAUAUAGGAGCGAACGAGGGGAAUUGAAACAUCUUAGUACCCUCAGGAAAAGAAAUCAAUAGAGAUUGCGUCAGUAGCGGCGAGCGAAAGCGCAAGAGGGCAAACCCAGUGCUUGCACUGGGGGUUGUAGGACUGCAAUGUGCAAGAGCUGAGUUUAGCAGAACAUUCUGGAAAGUAUAGCCAUAGAGGGUGAUAGUCCCGUAUGCGAAAAACAAAGCUUAGCUAGCAGUAUCCUGAGUAGGGCGGGACACGAGGAAUCCUGUCUGAAUCCGGGUCGACCACGAUCCAACCCUAAAUACUAAUACCAGAUCGAUAGUGCACAAGUACCGUGAGGGAAAGGUGAAAAGAACUGAGGUGAUCAGAGUGAAAUAGAACCUGAAACCAUUUGCUUACAAUCAUUCAGAGCACUAUGUAGCAAUACAGUGUGAUGGACUGCCUUUUGCAUAAUGAGCCUGCGAGUUGUGGUGUCUGGCAAGGUUAAGCAAACGCGAAGCCGUAGCGAAAGCGAGUCUGAAUAGGGCGCUUAGUCAGAUGCUGCAGACCCGAAACGAAGUGAUCUAUCCAUGAGCAAGUUGAAGCUAGUGUAAGAACUAGUGGAGGACUGAACCCAUAGGCGUUGAAAAGCCCCGGGAUGACUUGUGGAUAGGGGUGAAAGGCCAAUCAAACUUCGUGAUAGCUGGUUCUCUCCGAAAUAUAUUUAGGUAUAGCGUUGUGUCGUAAUAUAAGGGGGUAGAGCACUGAAUGGGCUAGGGCAUACACCAAUGUACCAAACCCUAUCAAACUCCGAAUACCUUAUAUGUAAUCACAGCAGUCAGGCGGCGAGUGAUAAAAUCCGUCGUCAAGAGGGAAACAACCCAGACUACCAGCUAAGGUCCCUAAAUCUUACUUAAGUGGAAAACGAUGUGAAGUUACUUAAACAACCAGGAGGUUGGCUUAGAAGCAGCCAUCCUUUAAAGAAAGCGUAAUAGCUCACUGGUCUAGUGAUUUUGCGCGGAAAAUAUAACGGGGCUAAAGUAAGUACCGAAGCUGUAGACUUGCACACAACUUAGAUUAUUUAAGUUUAGAAUAUGAGAAACUAAGUUAUAUGUUUAGUUAUAUUUUUACUGAUUUUUAUAGAGUAAAGAUAGAAAUAAAACUUAGUAAAAUCAGUAAAAAUAUUCUUAGGCUAAAGUUAAGUAGUUUAAGUUGUGUGCAAGUGGUAGGAGAGCGUUCUAUUUGCGUCGAAGGUAUACCGGUAAGGAGUGCUGGAGCGAAUAGAAGUGAGCAUGCAGGCAUGAGUAGCGAUAAUUAAUGUGAGAAUCAUUAACGCCGUAAACCCAAGGUUUCCUACGCGAUGCUCGUCAUCGUAGGGUUAGUCGGGUCCUAAGUCGAGUCCGAAAGGGGUAGACGAUGGCAAAUUGGUUAAUAUUCCAAUACCAACAUUAGUGUGCGAUGGAAGGACGCUUAGGGCUAAGGGGGCUAGCGGAUGGAAGUGCUAGUCUAAGGUUGUAGGAGGUUAUACAGGCAAAUCCGUAUAACAAUACUCCGAGAACUGAAAGGCUUUUUGAAGUCUUCGGAUGGAAAGAAGAACCCCUGAUGCCGUCGAGCCAAGAAAAGUUUCUAAGUUUAGCUAAUGUUGCCCGUACCGUAAACCGACACAGGUGGGUGGGAUGAGUAUUCUAAGGCGCGUGGAAGAACUCUCUUUAAGGAACUCUGCAAAAUAGCACCGUAUCUUCGGUAUAAGGUGUGCCUCCCUUUGUAUUAGGAUUUACUCCGAAAGCAAAGAAGGUUACAACAAAGAGUCCCUCCCGACUGUUUACCAAAAACACAGCACUCUGCUAACUCGUAAGAGGAUGUAUAGGGUGUGACGCCUGCCCGGUGCUCGAAGGUUAAUUGAUGGGGUUAGCAUUAGCGAAGCUCUUGAUCGAAGCCCGAGUAAACGGCGGCCGUAACUAUAACGGUCCUAAGGUAGCGAAAUUCCUUGUCGGUUAAAUACCGACCUGCAUGAAUGGCGUAACGAGAUGGGAGCUGUCUCAAAGAGGGAUCCAGUGAAAUUGUAGUGGAGGUGAAAAUUCCUCCUACCCGCGGCAAGACGGAGAGACCCCGUGGACCUUUACUACAGCUUGACACUGCUAUUUGGAUAAGAAUGUGCAGGAUAGGUGGGAGGCUUUGAGUAUAUGACGCCAGUUGUAUAUGAGCCAUUGUUGAGAUACCACUCUUUCUUAUUUGGGUAGCUAACCAGCUUGAGUUAUCCUCAAGUGGGACAAUGUCUGGUGGGUAGUUUGACUGGGGCGGUCGCCUCCCAAAUAAUAACGG